GCCGCAUUUCUCGUCUCUCCACACGACUUCUCUCUCCACCAACGUCUCCUUCUUCAAUCCAUCGCAGCAGUGCAGUGCUUUCGGCUGUGGCAGACCUGCGUUCGCGGCUAUGGCAGACGCGCUUUCGUCCUUGAUGGCGCGAGAUCGAUCCACGUCUCCCCUCAAGGACAAUUGAAGCGAUCCUAGCCAUUCCCCUCCCUUUUUCCAUUUUCGAAAAGGACGAAAUCUUCAGGAAAAGAUGUGGCACCAUUAAUGGAAGAGAUUCAAAUUUUGAAUUGAAAUGGGCCUA
rnacentral:misc_RNA from 1 species